GCCAAGGGUAUAUUUUUGAGAAAGGUUUUUCAUUUAAGACUUGUAGGAAUACACACCAUGUAUUUUGUUUUGUUUUGUUUUGUUUUAGGAAAAAGAAAGAAAGAAAGAAAAAAAAGGAAUGAAGAAAAGGAAAACAGAGGAAGAGGAAGAGGGAGAGAGAAUAGGAGUGUUGCUUAAUUGCCCAGGAGAACUUACUCAAGCUCUGUUCCUUCUAUGCUGGAAGUGAUGAAAUGUAACCAGCCUGCCACUAGGUGGCAGCAGGGAAGCCGCUGUCUUAUUCAUCAGAGUGUUGAGAGCACAUGGCAUUUGGCUGUGAUGAAAAAGCUGUUCUGGAAUACGGUAAUGCUCAGCGGCCCUGAGUGCCUGCCUUGCCGCUUCAGCUCCUUCUUCUGCUCAGUCAUCCAGGGUGAGAGAACGUGCUCAGGGUUGUAAAAUUGAGAACAUUCACUCAAAUAAUCUUUUGGAGUCGUUGAAAUAGAAAGCUAAAAUAGAAAUUUCCAAAGACUUUUCUUGGGAUGUUUCACUGACCCAUUAAAAAAAUACUGAUAUGUUUCUGCUCAAUCUAGAUGAUAUGUAGUCUACUAGAGUGGCUUCUAAACCUGGCUGUACUUUGAAUCACCUGAGAAUCUUUGAAAUGAAAUUCUAGGUUACUAUACUCCAGCAGCAACUAUAGAACCAUUAUCUCUGAGGAUGAGACCCAAGAAUUUAGUUUGUGGAGCUUAUCCAGUCUGUCUGGCACCAGCAUGCUGACUACAGCAUGGGAGCAAAAAUGGAACACCUUGUCUUGCAUGCAGUGAUCCCCUUAGAAAUUGCUAUCUUCCUACUCAGUUUGGAGAAGUGUGCAAACUCUGUGCGUCAAUUAGGACAGUUGCUGCCAAUCCGUGGCCAGCUAUGGACAUUGUUGCCUGUUUAAACAGCUAGUUGUCAUCAUAGAUGAUCAAUUAUAUUUUCUUUCAAAUUAAGCAUUUUUGACCAUUUUUAUAAUAUUGUUUGCAGCCACAGUUUACUCACUUGUGAGAGAAAAUGCUGUAUUUUCCAAAAGGAAAACUACCAUUCUUAUAUAUAAGGGUACAGACUGAAAAGUAAAUGACAUGUAUACAAAAAGACAAGAAAAUAAAAAAUUAAGAUCUCUUUGGUGUGAAUGGUUUAUAUGCUCUUGGAUAACUGAUUUGUACUUCUCUGAUCCUUGGUAUCUUUAUUAGUAAAGUGACAAAAGAUGGGACAGCCAGGAAGAAAGUGUGAGAGAGGAUUGUAAUUGCUGCUUUAUAAUCUUUACAAGGGCACCAUAAACGUUUAUUAAUACUCUCAUUAAUACAGAUGAGUAAAGGGCUCAUUCAGAGUUCCAGGGAUAGCAGAUUGGACACAC
rnacentral:lncRNA from 1 species